GUAGAGAGGAAGAUAGCUCAAACCAAUGUGAAGAUUGAAAAAAUGGAGCGAGAUAUGAAGUCCAAAGAGAUUUAAAACUGUGGCGUUGGCACUCCAAGAUCAAUUACCUCGACCCUAGGAUCACAGUUGCAUGGUGCAGCGACAUGAAGUUCCUAUUGAGAAGAUAUUCAACAAGUCUCUACUAGCAAGUUUGCUUGGUCAAUGGACGUCGAGCCAGAUUUCAGAUUCUGAUAUUUCAACCGAUGCUUGCCUCUACACCCCUCUUGACCAACCAAAGAACCAAAAAAAGGAAAAAGGACCCCCCAAAAAAAAAAAAAACGCAGCUCCUCACCACCACCUUCCUUUCCCAUUACAGUAAUUCAAUUUUUUUCUCUGUUCAACCGGAAAAUUCAUGUUGUUUUCAUCUAAUCUAAUUACGAGUUAAAGUUCUUCCUUCAUAGUUUUUCCUUUUAGACUAUUACUAACUGUUAUAGACUUUCUAACACCUGCUACUAACAGUAAAUGUGAAAAGUACAUUUUAAAUUGCAUAAAAACAAAGCUCCAGUGUUUGCCUGUUUUCUUCAAUGUCAGAGAUUUUUCUA